UACGUAGGGUCCGAGCGUUGUCCGGAAUUAUUGGGCGUAAAGAGCUCGUAGGCGGUCUGUCGCGUCGAAUGUGAAAACCCGGGGCUCAACCCCGGGCCUGCAUUCGAUACGGGCAGACUAGAGUUCGGUAGGGGAGUCUGGAAUUCCUGGUGUAGCGGUGAAAUGCGCAGAUAUCAGGAGGAACACCGGUGGCGAAGGCGGUUCUCUGGGCAGUAACUGACGCUGAGGAGCGAAAGCGUGGGGAGCGAACAGG
rnacentral:rRNA from 1 species